GUAAAGGUUUCGACAGGGGUCAUGCAGGUGGAGAAGCUACCCGACGCCGAUCGUCAAACGGCACAAUUAAAAAUAAACGCUAACGAUAGAGUAGCACUGGCGGCUUAAUUGCCACCCGUCGUCUGGAGGACACCCGCAUCCUGCAGCUCCGGCGUCAUGAAAGCGGGAAACGACACGGGGUAAGCUUUGCCCCCGCGGGCGUAUCAUGAAGCUACUAAAGCCGAUGGAUUGACUGUUUUCCAUCGGCGGAGGGAAUGGGAGUGAUCCGGAAAAACCGUCUGUGGUAGGAGAAGGACAUUGAAUUGGCUUUUGGACAGGGGUUCGAUUCCCCUC
rnacentral:tmRNA from 1 species